UGCAAUCAACGAAAAACCUUCCAAACCUCAUAAAUUUUCCUAAUUGUGAAGAAAGCUCAUCCUAAAUUAUUGCAGCGUUAUCUGUCACAAACAUACAUAAAUUUUUUAUAAAUUAUUGGAGCGUUAUUUGUCACAAACACACAUGAAUUUUUUUAACUCAUCAAGAAAAAAUUUUGCUCUCACCUGUUUGCUGGUGAUGAUAUUUCAUUUAAGAAAAUUGUUGAAUCAAGGUGCUUCGUUGUUCACUCUAAAGUAAAUAAAUAAAUCCUACCUACCUGUCAAUAAUUUAUGCAAUAUGAAUUUUGUGUGCAUUUUCCUUGGUAUCUGCUUAAUUGAAAGCAGUUUCUCCCACCCACAAGAUGAAAAAAGAAGUGAAGCGGAUCACAAAAAAUUAUCAAGAAAAUUACCUGGAGGUCCACUGAAACUGGUAGAUUUGGAGCAGCCUGGAAGUUAUUCUGCUGUAAAACUUGUGGAUUUGAUUCCUGAAAAUGAAUCUGAAUCAAUUCAAGACCAUUUUGGUGAAAAACUUAUAUCAACAGUCCAGAAAAUAAUUACUGACUUGAUAUCUAAUCCACAAACAAUCUCUCUCUUAUUGACUUUAAUCCCUACCUUUCCACCAGCAGCAAUUAUUGGAAGCUUCAUUAUGGUUGUUCUUUCAAUUUUCCAAAAUCCAACCAUCAUGAAUUUUUUUAAAAAUGUGUUACCUGAUAUUCAAUCCCUAGCAUCCAAUCCCAGUGAUAUCACUAUUCCCAAAUAUUUGAAAGAUUUGGAAAGUGUGGACACAGAUGAGUUUGACUUUAUUAAAGAAGGGGCAAAAUAUGCCACUAAAUUGGUUGAUAUUGGGUCAAACGCAUUAGGGUUGAAAGAUCUGGAUUUAGAUGAUAUGAAUAUUUUUCGACAUCCCAUUAAAUUAAAUAAUUUAUCAAGCUCUGCUGAAUAUAAGGAUGGACCAGUCCAAUCUAGAAAGAAAAAAUCUCUCAACCAAGAAAAUAAAAAUAAAAAAUCUAGUGGCAAAUACUCGAGCUAUGAUGAUGGGAGCCCAAUACCCCUACGUGAUUUAAUGUGAAUUCAUGUUCUGUCUCGUUUCGAAUGAAGUUGGACUUUGUUAGGCUUACUGAAAUAUGCACAGGUUAUUUCAUUGUAUACCUAAGAUACCGGAGUUUUUUACCCACUUGUUUCAACUGUAUCAUAUUUUUGUACCUACCUAGAUUAAAUGUAGACAUAGGUAUAAUACAAGGCGGGGGGGGGGUUUAUCAUGUUACACAUUAUAAGAUAUAAUACCUAUAAUUAAUUAAAAGUGUAUGAAAAUAUAGAAAUAUUCUCAAUACCUAGAUACAUAUUCAUUACCUGUAGGUCCUGUACUUACUACAUACUUAAUUCAAUAUAUGUAUUAGGUAUUGUUAAACUGAGGGCCAAGAAAAGCAAAAUUCUGAAUAUGAAUGAGCAAUUAUUUUUCAAAAUACAUAAAUCAAAAGUU